UGAUUUUGAUGUCAACGAUUAUGGUGAGGAGGAUAAGGAGAAACAAGGAGAAGAGGGAAAAAAUCGAGAUGAGGGAAGAGUUGAGGAAGACCAAAGUGGAUGGAAUAAUGAUGAGAUGGAAUAACUUGAGAAAGUGUAUAAGGAUCUUCAAAUUAGUUUUGGAUUUUUAAGUGAGGAGUUACUACACUUUUUAAUACAAUUUUUCAGUGAUAGGUGGUAGUAGUAUGCAGUGAGAGUGGUUCCCACUUUUCGGCAACCAGUUUGGUUGAGAUUGUAGCUGAAGAUUUGAAGUUUAUCAUGAAAGUCAGAUUAGAUUGGAAAGGAAAUUUUGGAAGUCCAGAGAAGCAGGGGUGAGCUAGAGAUGGAGGAAACAUGAUGGGGAAGAACAAGGAUCUUCAAGAACGUGCCAUCGCAUCAACAAACAGAGAUUGAAGAAGUGGCUUCCAGAAUAGUGGAACGGCAAUAAAAUCAUGUCACACGCCUGAAAGCAGGAAAAGAUUCCUUUUUUUUUCUUCUUCCUCCAAAUGCAUACUAUUAGUUAUUUAUUUUAAAGUGGGGCCAACACUAUGGGCUUCAGGUUUGAACAUUAGUGUUCUUUUCUUUUGUUGAUUACUUUAAGUAUUCAUUUUUUGUUGUUGUUUGUUUUGUUGUUUAGGGUUUCAGACAUAUACAAACGAGUUGCAGCUAAAAGUGUUGUCGUAAAUGGUUCUGUAAUUUGCAGGGAACACCUCUGAAUCUCAUUUCGUCAAUCACCCGCGAAAAGCCAAAACCUUCUUACCUGGUGGAAGGUUAUCAGAGAAGAUCUUUGUCCAAUGGGUUGAAGAGAGUUAAUCUGGCAGCAAUUCCAAAAACCACCAUUUAGGGGAAGAAAACGAGAAUGUUAGCUUUUGAUUGGAUGAUUAGGGUAAACAAUGGAUUGAGAACUCAUUGUCCCUCAGGUAAUGAAGCAGCACUCUCUUCUGCAGCAAUUUGAGCGCGAUCUUUUCCUUUCAAAUCAGGAUUUGAACACCAAAUUUUGAGCGCAAUUUUUUCAUUUAAAAUUAGAGUUUAAAAUGACAUCCUCAAGCGCCUCUACCACACCGAAGAUGCCCCUCAAGAUAUGAUGGAGAUGAAGGUAGAAGUCGUGGCGAUGCUAAAGUCGCUGCACCGCUGGCGGCAUUCCUUCAUAACCCGUUGGCUGUGCAGGAGUUGAGGGCUAACAAGAAAGAAUUGCGAGUAGAAAAGUUGAAGGACAAAGAGGAAGUAGAGGACUUAACUCAGGAAAUGGCUGAGCUGUGGUAUCGAACUCUCAUCCCUAGACCUCAAGCUUCAUCUCUCCAACUCAAUUGGCAGGAAUGGAUCUUUGGUUGAUGGAUGGAAGUGGUCGAGGCCUAAUGGAGGGCAUGCAGGACUAACAUAAGCAAUGAAGACAUGAAAUAUUUAAACAAAACAAGAAAGGGAUUUCACUGUUGAGCAAUCUGCAAGGAUGAUUGAUGCAUACUGUAUGCUUAGCAAGUCUUUGUCUAGAGCAAUUUACAUGCUGGUGACAACGAGAUUGCUGCCUGUAUUUACAUGUGAUCUUAUAACUCGC